ensembl:lncRNA low affinity immunoglobulin gamma Fc region receptor II-like
AAGAAUUCACUAUGAGGGAGUCUGUGCUCAUAAAAACAAUAUUUCAUGUCGUAUCAGCUGCCUGUGUAGGUCAUGUUCUGAUGAAGUGAUGAUCUGAUGUUUUUCUACAGGGGAGAUCAAGACGGUUCUCAGACUAGAACCCAGCAGAACACAGAUCUUCCCUGGAGAUUCUGUCACUUUAAUAUGUGACACAGAACCAAAGACACAACCUGCAGUGUGGUACAAGUUUUAUAAGAAGCCGGAACAUCAAGAUCAAGAUCAGGACCUUACAGAUUGGAUUACGUGGAAUAAUUAUAACAUCAGUUCUGUAAAAAAAUCAGAUAGUGCAUCCUACAGGUGUAGGAGAGAUAAUAUUGUUGGUGAUCGACUUUAUCUGAUUGUGUCAGAACUGCCUGAACCCACAGUGACUGUAGUGUCUCCACAGAGACCUUUCUACUCUGGAGAUACGGUCACUCUGAGUUGUGAUAUAACACCUCAGUACACAGACUGGGAACUGUACUUGUGGAACAGAGACAGGACUUGUAUUACCAAUAAGACCAGUAGGACCAUCAGCAUCUCUCUCCCUGAUGAGGCUGGUCAGUACAGUUGUAGUGGAAGAAGAGCAGGUCGUCCCAAGAUGAGCUCCACCAGCUCCAGUUUCACAGUUUCUUCCCAGGUAACUAUAAACUCCUGGUCUUGGAGACUCAGACUGGCUAGUUCUCUAGCUGUUGUUUCUGUGUACCUGCUGCUCACCGUGGUCCUCAUUGUCAAGGUUCGAGGAACAAUCUGUGCAUGUGAAUCCGACAAAGCAUCGGGCCAAAGCAUAGAAGAUUAUGAAGCCCAAGCUGACGUGACCGACCGUCGAUAUUUAAAUGUGGCUGUUUAAUAGCCUGCAUGCACCUCAUCUAAAUAAAAUACAGCAUGAGAGAAGAAGAAAGGAGGAC